rnacentral:rRNA from 1 species
GACGAACGCUGGCGGCGUGCCUAAUACAUGCAAGUAGAACGCUGAAGGAGGAGCUUGCUUCUCUGGAUGAGUUGCGAACGGGUGAGUAACGCGUAGGUAACCUGCCUGGUAGCGGGGGAUAACUAUUGGAAACGAUAGCUAAUACCGCAUAAGAGUAGAUGUUGCAUGACAUUUGCUUAAAAGGUGCAAUUGCAUCACUACCAGAUGGACCUGCGUUGUAUUAGCUAGUUGGUGGGGUAACGGCUCACCAAGGCGACGAUACAUAGCCGACCUGAGAGGGGGGUCGGCCACACUUGGACUGGGACACGGCCCAGACUCCUACGGGAGGCAGCAGGAGGGAAUCUUCGGCAAUGGACGGAAGGCUGACCGGGCAACGCCGCGUGAGGGAAGGAGGGUUUCGGAUCGUAAAGCUCCGUUGUAAGGGAAGAACGAGUGUGAUAGUGGAAAGUUCACACUGUGACGGUAUCUUACCAGAAAGGGACGGCUAACUACGUG